ACACAAGACACAACAACAACAAUGAACAACAUCAUCAUCCUCAUCUGGACUCUCACACUGUUUGCUCAAGAGUGUAGAGGACAGUACACUGUAACUCAGAGUCCAUCAAUAACAGCAGCUCAACCAGGACAAGAAGUCAGAAUAAACUGUAAAACCAGCAGUAAUGUGUACAGUGAUAGUAAUGGGAUAUGGAUGAGCUGGUAUUUACAGAAACCUGGAGAAGCUCCUAAACUCCUCAUAUAUCUUGCAUCAACCCGUUUCACUGGAACUCCAUCUAGAUUCAGUGGCAGUGGAUCUAACAGUGAUUUCACUAUGACCAUCAGUGGAGUCCAGACUGAAGAUACAGGAGAUUAUUACUGUCAGAGUUUCCACUAUCCAAACAGUAAAUAUGUGUUCACACAGUGAUAAAGAGUCGUACAAAAACCUCCGUCAGUCAGAGUCACAGUGACUGCACUGAUACAGCUGAGAGAUACUGCAGCUGCUGAUCAGAGGAUAUGAUUAAAUAUGUUUACUGUAAUUAUUAUUUACUUUUGGUUCUUUGGAGAUUCAGAAAGUUCUUCAUUUGUUAUUACAGGUUCUUCAAAUCAGUGCAUUGGUUCAGUGGAGACUGGAAAUAUGGACCAUGGUGUGGUACACUUGAGGAGUACAGUAUGUAAUAAACAGCAGUUUCAUCAUGAUACGAUAUGACAUUGAUUCUCUUUUUUAUGAUAUGAUUUGAUAUUUGCCAUUAUGUCCAAACAUGCAGUAAUAAGAUUACAAUUCAAUCAAUACAUCAUAUAUUUAGUAAUUUGAUAUUAAAUUACAUCAGUGUGGUAUUCUUGACCUCCAGCACUCAAACCACAUGGAGACAAAUGCUUCACAUUAUGUCUAUAUAACACAACUCAACGAGGCAUAAAAUGUGUUUGUAUCUGGUUCAACAACAUAUUUAAACAGUAAAACAAUCAUUUUGAUUAUCAGU